CAAGAAUGAAGCCGUGACCUUGGCGG
rnacentral:piRNA from 1 species